GUACUUGCUUCGGCAGCACAUAUACUAAAAUUGGAAUAAUACAGAGAAGAUUAUCAUGGCCCCUGCACAAUAUGACAUGCUAAUUCAUGAAGCAGUCCAUAUUUUU